CCAGUGAGCCCACCUCUGCUCCAGCUGAGCUGUGUCCCCAUGAAGUGGUGUCUUGUCACGAGCACCUCAGGCCCCACCGUUCCAAGCUGGGCACCUGUCCUCCCCUUCCUCCUGUCAGGGGCUGGGACACCUUGGAUGGGUCCUCUCCUUCUACCUGGCACAGUCACCUCGUCACUGGCCCGGCCGACCUCGCCUUCAGCCAGCUGUCUCUGUCACGCAAUUGUUGUCUAACAAACAGCUCUGUGCACCUACUGCACGCACGC
rnacentral:lncRNA from 10 species